rnacentral:rRNA from 1 species
AUGGGCAGCAUGGCGCGCCUCCUCCCCGACUCCCGCUCCGCCUCCGCCUCCGCCUCCUGGACCUCUUCCCUCUCGAGCGACCUCGCAACUGCCGCCGCCACCGCUGUCACCGCAACCUCCUCCUCCGCGAUGCCGCUCGCUGCCCCAUUCCCCGGCCUCGGCGUGCCGCUCUCCGACGCCGACCUCCGCACCACCGCCUACGAGGUCCUCGUCGCCGCCUCCCGCGCCACCGGCGGCAGGCCCCUCAUCUACAUCCCCCAGUCCGCCCCCUCCUCCGCCACCGCCCGUUCCACCUCCUCCACGUCCACCUCGACCUCCUCCUCCUCCUCGUCCUCCGGCCUGCAGCGUUCGCGGACGUCGACGGCGGCCAGCAAGGUGAAGAGGUCGCUCGGGCUCAGCCCCUCGGCGUCAUCUAAGGCCGGGAUAGAGGCGCCGCGGAGGCCAGAGACGGUGAUGGAGCUGGUGCGGGUCAAUUUACGUGUCACGGAGCAGGCCGACUCGAGGAUCCGCCGCGGGCUUCUCCGCAUCGCCGCCGGCCAGCUAGGUAGACGUGCAGAAUCAAUGAUUUUACCCUUAGAGUUCCUGCAGCGAUCAAAAGCAUCGGAUUUCCCUGAUCCACAUGAGUACGAGGCCUGGCAGUUUAGGAACUUGAAGCUUCUUGAGGCUGGUUUGCUGGUUCACCCACUUAUUCCCUUGAGCAAAUCAGACAUUGAUGCACAGACAUUACGAGAGAUAAUAAGUAGAGCAUAUGAUAAAUCACUUCAAAACGGGAAGAACUUGGAAUCGAUGCAAGAACUAUGCAGUGCGGUGAAGUCCCUUGCUGGUAGGUCCCUAGGUGGAAGUUCUGACGAGUGUCACUGGGCAGAUGGCUUUCCAUUCAAUCUCCAUAUCUAUCAAAUGUUGGUAGAAGCUUGCUUUGAUAGUGAGAAUGGUACUGUGGUUGAUGAAAUUGAUGAAGUGAUGGGGUUAUUGAAGAAGACUUGGGUUAUUCUUGGGAUUAAUCAGAUGCUUCACAACCUCUGCUUUACCUGGGCGUUGUUCAACCAUUUUGUCACAUCGGACCAAGUAGAUAUUGAGUUACUUUCUGCUGCUGAGAAUCAGUUAAAUGUAGUUGUAAAAGAUGCAAAAAACGCAGAAGAUCCAGAUUACUGUGACGUAUUGAUCUCCAUUUUAAGUUCCAUAACGGGUUGGACAGAGAAAAGAUUACUAGCUUACCAUGAAACUUUCAAUGCUAGCAACAUUGUUUCGAUGCAAGGUAUUGUCACAAUAGGAGUCUCAGCUGCGAAGAUUCUUCUUGAAGAUAUAUCUCAAAAACACCCUGGUAAAAGGAAACAAAAGACUGAUGUGGUGCGUGGCAAGAUCGAAACCUAUAUACGGUCCUCGCUCCAUACUGCUUUUGCUCAAAGAAUGGAUGAGGCAGACUUAAAGCGAUCAUCAAGGAAUCCUGUGCCAGUUCUUGCAAUCCUCGCAAAGGAUAUUAGUGACCUUGCUUCGAAGGAGAAAAAUAUCUACAGUCCAAUACUGAAGAAAUGGCACCCGCUUGCUUCUGGUGUUGCAGUUACAACCCUUCAUUCUUGCUUUGGUAAUGAACUGAAGCAAUUUAUGGUUGGGCGUACAAAGUUCACACCAGACACGGCUCAAGUGCUUAACGCUGCUGACAAGUUAGAGAAGAAUCUGGUUAAUAUUGCAGUUGAAGACUUUCUGGAUAGUGAUGAUGGAGGCAAGUCAUUGAUUAGACAGAUGCCACCGUAUGAAGCUGAAAAUGCAAUUGCUGCUCUGGUCAAAGGUUGGAUGAAAGAACGAGUGGACAAACUUAAAGAAUGGGUUGACCAAAGUUUACAGCAGGAGACAUGGAAUCCAAAAGCUAACAGGCAGAGCUUUGCUCCUUCUUCCAUGGAGAUGCUAAGGAUGGUUGAUGAAAUUUUAGAUGCGUUUUUUCAGUUGCCCAUAUCAAUGCACUCUACUUUGGUUUCUGAUUUAACAGCUGGACUAGAUGGGAUUCUACAGUAUUAUGUCUCGAAAGCGAAAGCUUGCCAUGGGACCCAGAGUACUGCUACUCCACAACUGCCUCAUUUAACAAGAUGCGACGUUGGAUCCAAAUUAUUCAAGAAAAAGGAAAAGCCACAUGCUCUUCUGAAUCGUGGAUCGCAAGUUGGAUCUUCUGCUGGAAAGUCGGAAGGAUGCGAUCUUUCUGAACUCUGUGUACAAAUAAAUACACUCCAUUACAUCCGAACUGAGGUGGAGAAUCUGAAGAAGAAGGCGAAAAAAUGCUUGCGAAACAGUGAAUUAUCACAGGAUGGUAAUGGCACCACUGAUGGAAUGAACAUCAGGUUUGAGCUAUCCCAGGCAAGUUGCCAAGACGGCAUCCGCCAGCUGUGUGACGCAACAGCACAUAAGGUGGUAUUCAGUUAUUUGAGUCAUGUUCUCUUGGACAUGCUGUAUGUCGGUGGUGCUGCAUCAAACAGGGUGGAGCCUUUGUUGAGAGAGCUUCACUCUACCCUUGGGGUGAUAUCUGGCAUAAUGCGUAAUGAGCCGCGGGACCAUCUCAUAACUGCGUUGAUGAAAGCUUCCUUUGAUGGGUUCCUACUGGUGCUUCUUGCUGGUGGACCUACACGCGCUUUCACCCUUCAAGACGCUCAGAUCAUAGAGAAUGAUUUCAGAGCCCUCAGAGGAUUGUACUUGGCAAAUGGUGAUGGCCUGCCACAUGAACUGGUUGACAAGGCUUCAUCGGAGGUGAAGAGCGUUCUGCCACUCCUACGAACAGAUACAGAAUCCCUCAUCCAGCGUUUCAAGCAAGCGAUUACUGAACGCCAGGGAUCUCCAACCAAAUCUAGCUUCCCGAAACCUCCUCGUGUGCCCGCCCAGUGGAGCGCAAAUGACCCGAACACUAUCCUGCGAGUUUUGUGCUACCGGUACGAUGAGGCGGCCACAAAGUUCCUCAAGAAAACAUACAAGUUCCCGAAGAAGCUUUGA